UAUCUAUGACUGGGUUGUGAUGCUGAGACCCAGCUCCUACGCGGAGGUGCUAGAAUAUGGCCAAUUGGCCGAAGACCUCAACUCAGCCAGGCACCAACACAUUGCCCAAGUAUGUACCCAACAACAAUAAUUUUAACAACCCAGAAGAAGAUUGCCCUGCCUAGUAAGUAGCCACCCUAAUAAACGAACCCAAAUUGCCCUUCCCCCUACCCUGCCUCCACCUACUGGACAACAUGUUCGACCUUCCCAGCCUUGUCAGCAUUGUGGUCACUCACAUGGUGACCUACCAUGUCGACGUAUCAAUCAUGCCUGCUAUCGAUGCAGAAGCAUCCAACACCUUAUAAAGGACUAUCCCCAGUGACCCAAAAGACAUGGCCAAGUUUAUAGCCCAAGGUCGUGUGUACCACCUAAAUGAACCCGGUACUCUCCCCACUACUGCUCUUAUC
rnacentral:lncRNA from 1 species